AGUGAACGCUGGCGGCGUGCUUAACACAUGCAAGUCGAACGAGAACGGAAUAUAGCUUGCUAUAUUUGUCAGCUAAGUGGCGCACGGGUGAGUAAUGUAUAGAUAACCUGCCCUUAAGAAAGGAAUAACAGUUGGAAACGACUGCUAAUGCCCUAUAUGCCUUUAAUACAUAAGUAUGCAAGGGAAACGCUUUAGUGCUUAAGGAUGGGUCUGUAUGGUAUCAGCUUGUUGGUGAGGUAAUGGCUCACCAAGGCUAUGACGCCUAACUGGUUUGAGAGGAUGAUCAGUCACACUGGAACUGAGACACGGUCCAGACUCCUACGGGAGGCAGCAGUGGGGAAUAUUGCACAAUGGACGAAAGUCUGAUGCAGCAACGCCGCGUGGAGGAUGACACAUUUCGGUGCGUAAACUCCUUUAUAUUAGGAAGAUAAUGACGGUACUAUAUGAAUAAGCACCGGCUAACUCCGUG
rnacentral:rRNA from 1 species